rnacentral:rRNA from 1 species
GAUGAACGCUGGCGGCGUGCCUAAUACAUGCAAGUCGAGCGAACAGACGAGGAGCUUGCUCCUCUGACGUUAGCGGCGGACGGGUGAGUAACACGUGGAUAACCUACCUAUAAGACUGGGAUAACUUCGGGAAACCGGAGCUAAUACCGGAUAAUAUAUUGAACCGCAUGGUUCAAUAGUGAAAGACGGUUUUGCUGUCACUUAUAGAUGGAUCCGCGCCGCAUUAGCUAGUUGGUAAGGUAACGGCUUACCAAGGCCACGAUGCGUAGCCGACCUGAGAGGGUGAUCGGCCACACUGAAACUGAGACACGGUCCAGACUCCUACGGGAGGCAGCAGUAGGGAAUCUUCCGCAAUGGGCGGAAGCCUGACGGAGCAACGCCGCGUGAGUGAUGAAGGUCUUCGGAUCGUAAAACUCUGUUAUUAGGGAAGAACAAAUGUGUAAGUAACUAUGCACGUCUUGACGGUACCUAAUCAGAAAGCCACGGCUAACUACGUG